AUUAUUAUGAUUAUAAAAACUUAAGAUAUUUUAUAUCAUUUCUGAGGAAGUAUAUGCAGGAACCAAUUGUUAUUUAGGAAUUCUUCGUUUAUGAUUUAAU
rnacentral:snoRNA from 1 species